rnacentral:lncRNA from 1 species
GAGGACCCGGGCAAAUAUAGCGAAGCUAGCAGCAGCAGCAGCAGUGGCAGUGGCAGCAGCGACAGUGGUGGAAGUGAGCAGUAACAUGGCAGCAGUGAUGAGCGCUUGGGGGUGCACACACCAUGUCGGCCCCAGGCAGGAUGGGACAGACCAAUCCCAAUAGGUGCCAGUACAUGUCAUGCAUCGGGGGUUUCAUCCGUAGGAGUAGGCAUGAACUCUGCAAGUGGUGGUGAGACUCCUUGGCGAGCACUUGCUGUAUGGGGGGUGACAUGAACACUGUUUUCGAGGACGAUGGUUGAGAUGAAUGCAUCAGGCUGUCAGGCUGGCUGGUCGGCGUUGUGAGUCCAAAGCGCCUUGGUCCACAAGCACACUGAGACUUAGGCUACUUUGACAAGGGGUGUGCGUCCAUUUUGAGGCUUGCCGCAAGUAUUCACCAAUCGUUAAUUUAACAUGCAGUAAGCGUCACAUCACAGAGUAAUAUCUGCCUGUGUAACCCUGAUAACAGGGUCUCCACCCGUAAUUGUACAUGUAAUUGGUUACAUGUGCCCGUAAUUCACCUCCAGCACCGCGUAAAAUCCACCCGUAAUCACUGGGUCUCCACCCGUAAUUGUACGUGUAAUUGGUUACAUGUGCCCGUAAUUCACCUCCAGCACCGCGUAAAAUCCACCCGUAAUCACUGGGUCUUCACCCGUAAUUUCGCGUGUAAUUGGUUACAUGCGCCUGUAAUUCACCUCCAACACCGCGUAAAAUCCACCCGUAAUCACUGGGUCUUCACCCGUAAUUUCGCGUGUAAUUGGUUACAUGCGCCCGUAAUUCACCUCCAACACCGCGUAAAAUCCACCCGUAAUCACUGGGUCUUCACCCGUAAUUUCGCGUGUAAUUGGUUACAUGCGCCCGUAAUUCACCUCCAGCACCGCGUAAAAUCCACCCGUAAUCACUGGGUCUUCACCCGUAAUUUUGCGUGUAAUUGGUUACAUGCGCCCGUAAUUCAC